rnacentral:rRNA from 1 species
UGAGCGGCGGACGGGUGAGUAACGCGUGGGUGACCUGCCCCAUACCGGGGGAUAACAGCUGGAAACGGCUGCUAAUACCGCAUAAGCGCACAGAGCUGCAUGGCUCAGUGUGAAAAACUCCGGUGGUAUGGGAUGGGCCCGCGUCUGAUUAGGCAGUUGGCGGGGUAACGGCCCACCAAACCGACGAUCAGUAGCCGGCCUGAGAGGGCGACCGGCCACAUUGGGACUGAGACACGGCCCAAACUCCUACGGGAGGCAGCAGUAGGGAAUCUUCGGCAAUGGGGGCAACCCUGACCGAGCAACGCCGCGUGAGUGAAGAAGGUUUUCGGAUCGUAAAGCUCUGUUGUAAGAGAAGAACGAGUGUGAGGGUGGAAAGUUCACACUGUGACGGUAACUUACCAGAAAGGGACGGCUAACUACGUGCCAGCAGCCGCGGUAAUACGUAGGUCCCGAGCGUUAUCCGGAUUUAUUGGGCGUAAAGCGAGCGCAGGCGGUUAGAUAAGUCUGAAGUUAAAGGCUGUGGCUUAACCAUAGUACGCUUUGGAAACUGUUUAACUUGAGUGCAGAAGGGGAGAGUGGAAUUCCAUGUGUAGCGGUGAAAUGCGUAGAUAUAUGGAGGAACA